UAUAGAUAAUAAAUACAGAAGUUGCGGUCAAUAAGGUAGGGAUCAUCAAAACACCGAACCAUCCGAUGUAAAGACGAUUUUCAGUGCUAGUUAUCCAGUUGCAGAAGCGACCUGACCAUCGAUGAACUGAUCGGAUUAACCAACCAAAGUUGGCCUCGGUCCAUUUGCUCCCCUAGCUUUCGUCUCUCAGUGUCAGUGUCGGCCCAGCAGAGUGCUUUCGCCGUUGGUGUUCUUUCCAAUCUCAAUGCAUUUCACCGAGUAAGUUAUUCUAAUCCUGCUACUGUAAAAAAAUAUGCGAGCCCGAGCCAUCAGUGAGAUACCACUCUGGAAGAGCUCGGAUUCUAACCUUGUGUCAGACCCGCGGGCCAAGAUUUUUUCUUAAGGAAUAGAUUACCAGUUUUUCCUUACCACACGGAUCCACUAGGAUGGUUUUUUUUUAUACCUAAAAAUGCAAAAAAGAAUUCUUGAAAAAAAUUGCCUCGUUGCAAACCUACUGUACGAAUAGCAUCUACUGCUGUUCUUUGACCAACAUAGGGUGAUGCUUUUCUUGAGCUUUUGAAUCCACAAGUACCGGCCGAGGACCAAAAAACCAAAGCAUUUACCUAAGUUAUGGAAAAUUCAGAAUUCAUCAGUUAUUUUAGAUAAUACUAAAAAAACAAGGUAGACAAGGAGGGUUUUAGCACGCACUAGCUGUACUGUAGUAUGAUCUGGUAUCAGCUGCUGUCUCUCCUUGCUAUUAUAGUUUAGUAUAGGUCGCCUCAAACUCAAACAAAAACAACGUUACAAAGAACUUCAGGACAUUAUCGCAAUUCUUGGCUUGGAUGAAUUAUCGGAAGAGGAUCGUUUAACUGUAGCAAGAGCAAGAAAAAUUGAGCGUUUCUUAUCACAACCGUUCUUUUUCCCCGCCUUUUCCCGCUAGGAUCGGAAAUCUUAUAUUUUCCAUAUCCAUAUACCGUUGAAUCCUUGGGGUUCCAGAAUCCGCCUAUUUUACUAGUCUUUGGAAACGGAAAACCCUGAACCAAGAAGAGUUGGAUAUGUUAUGUAGGGUAUGUUUUUUUAUUAAUUUUAUUUUGAGAGUCGACCGCCUAAAAAAAGACGUCUGUAAAAGAAUUAACCCGCUUUCAACUUUCAUUUGAAGAGAAAUAAACGAUUCAAUGAUAAAAUAAUAAUACUAGUCUAUUAUGGUUCGAGAGGAGGUAGCAGGAUCCACUCAAACACUACAGUGGAAGUGUGUUGAAUCAAGAGUAGAUAGUAAGCGCCUUUAUUAUGGUCGUUUCAUUCUGUCCCCGCUUAGAAAAGGUCAAGCGGACACCGUCGGUAUUGCCAGGGAGCAAGAUCAAAUACCCACAGGGCACCCUUACUUCACUUUUUUAUUUUGCAUCCCUCAUUAAAGAGGGAGGGAACGACCCAGGAAGAAUUUAUUCUAGGGUUUUUGCUAAUCUAUGAUUAACCUCCUUUCAUAAUACUCCCAACCCCCAGGGGAAGUCGAAUCCCCGCUGCCUCCUUGAAAGAGAGAUGUCCUGAACCACUAGACGAUAGGGGCAUCACUAGCCGAUAGGGAAACAAAGGCUAAACUAAGCGCUUUUGUUUGAACAAAAAAGAUUCUUGUUUCACCGAGGAAAAGCAGCGAUAUUUCGAUUCAUCCUUUUCUUCCAAGGAUUUCAUAAUUGGACGUUGAACCCAUUUCAUAUGAUGGGAGUUGCCGGAGUAUUAGGUGCGGCUCUGCUAUGCGCUAUUCAUGGAGCGACCGUAGAAAACACUCUAUUUGAGGACGGUGAUGGUGCAAAUACCUUCCGUGCUUUUAACCCAACUCAAGCUGAACGAACCUAUCCUAUUUUUACAGUGCGAUGGCUGGCUAUUCACGGACUAGCUGUACCUACUGUUUUUUUCUUGGGAUCAGUAUCAGCAAUGCAGUUCAUCCAACCCUGUCGGAGGUACUAAUCUGGUUUUUUGAGAUUUAUUUUUCCUUCAUGUACUCUGUUUUUUCAUGGCAUUGGGGUUUUUCUUGUUAAGUACAUGAGAAUCAAAUUCAUAUGGGCGUGCUAGUUGAAAGGAUCUAGCAUAGAUUUUCUUGCAUAAUGAAUGGUGGUUUUUGAAUCUGAAUCAUUUUCUUAAAGUAUUGAUGAGGUAUUUCUAUUCAUGUACUGGCCCCUCCAUAAUGUUUGCAUACAUGUAGGAUUGUAGGGAUCUAGCAUAGAUUUUCUUGUUGGAUGGUGAUUUUAGAAUCUGAUUCAUUUUCUGUUCGAAUAGACAGAAGAAAAAAACACACUAGUAUAGCUAAAACUCCAUCAAGCAGGCAGAUGAUGCAUUUGCAAUAUAAUGGCAAUUUACUGAAUUGACACAGAGUUGCCAUACUAAUCUCUUAAAACACCACCCAUCGACUCAUGUCCUUCUUAACUAUCAUAUGAUGCAUCUACAUUCAGUUUCAAUUGGUAAGAAUCCUGUUCUGACCACUUGAUUAUUUCUUUGACGCCAUUUCCUGUUUUGGCAAUUGGUCUGCCUUGUUGCAUGAGGACAGAACCAAUACCUUGACCUGAUGCAUCUGUUUAAAAAGUAAAUGGUAGGGUCAAAUAAGGCAAAGCCAUAACAAGAGCAGUGACAAGACAAUUCUUCAAUGUUGUGAAGGCCUCAAUUUGAGCAUCUGACCACUGGAAUGCAUCUUUUUCUAGACAACAUGCCCUAAAUACUCAACUUGUAUUUGUAAAACUAGAAUUCAAUUUCUGAAUCUUUUUUUAGACCACCGGAA
rnacentral:lncRNA from 1 species